GACGAACGCUGGCGGCGUGCUUAACACAUGCAAGUCGAACGGAAAGGCCCUGCUUUUGUGGGGUGCUCGAGUGGCGAACGGGUGAGUAACACGUGAGUAACCUGCCCUUGACUUUGGGAUAACUUCAGGAAACUGGGGCUAAUACCGGAUAGGAGCUCCUGCUGCAUGGUGGGGGUUGGAAAGUUUCGGCGGUUGGGGAUGGACUCGCGGCUUAUCAGCUUGUUGGUGGGGUAGUGGCUUACCAAGGCUUUGACGGGUAGCCGGCCUGAGAGGGUGACCGGCAAAAUGGGGACUGAGAUACGGCACAGACUACUGCGGGAGGCAGCAGUAGGGGAUAAUGCACGAUGGGCGGAAGCCUGAUGCAGCAACGCCGCGUGCGGGAUGACGGCCUUCGUGUUGUAGACCGCUUUCGCCUGUGACGAAGCGUGAGUGACGGUAAUGGGUAAAGAAGCACCGGCUAACUACGUG
rnacentral:rRNA from 1 species